rnacentral:rRNA from 1 species
UACGGAGGGGGCUAGCGUUGUUCGGAAUUACUGGGCGUAAAGCGCACGUAGGCGGCUUUGUAAGUUAGAGGUGAAAGCCCAGGGCUUAACCCUGGAAUUGCCUUUAAGACUGCAUCGCUAGAAUUGUGGAGAGGUGAGUGGAAUUCCGAGUGUAGAGGUGAAAUUCGUAGAUAUUCGGAAGAACACCAGUGGCGAAGGCGACUCACUGGACACAUAUUGACGCUGAGGUGCGAAAGCGUGGGGAGCAACAGG